rnacentral:lncRNA from 1 species
GAGACAGCACCACUGCACCCCAGCCUGGGCGACAGAGUGAGACUCCAUCUCAAAAAAAAAAAAGAAAAAAAGAAAAAAAAGAUGAAGCCACAAACCUGUGUGAGGAGAGUUCCCUGUAUAAAGCCAAGGAAUUGUCCUAUCUGUGAAACUGAGACCAGAACAUUCUAACUGGACAAGCAGUCCUGAGAAGCCUCAGCCAGCUGACCAGCUCCUCCUGUAACUUCUUGUAACUAUACAACCCGAGGAAUGUGGCUCCUGAGAGAAAAUUGGUGGAAAAUACCUACUACAGAUGAGCUCAUAGCCCCCUUCUAGGUACGCAAUAUAUGUUGGCUGAAGUGAAAAUGUAAACAGGAAGGAGAAAGGUUUCACAACGAGGAAAGG